rfam:Gossypium raimondii scaffold_1008_contig_1, whole genome shotgun sequence.
GGGUGCGAUCAUACCAGCACUAAUGCACCGGAUCCCAUCAGAACUCCACAGUUAAGCGUGCUUGGGCGAGAGUAGUACUAGGAUGGGUGACCUCUUGGGAAGUCCUCGUGUUGCACCCC